rnacentral:rRNA from 1 species
GUGGGGAAUCUUCCACAAUGGACGAAAGUCUGAUGGAGCAACGCCGCGUGAGUGAAGAAGGGUUUCGGCUCGUAAAGCUCUGUUGUCGGGGACGAAUGUGCAGUAUUUGAAUAAAGUACUGCAAUGACGGUACCUGACGAGGAAGCCACGGCUAACUACGUGCCAGCAGCCGCGGUAAUACGUAGGUGGCAAGCGUUGUCCGGAAUUAUUGGGCGUAAAGGGAGCGCAGGCGGGAAGGUAAGUCGGUCUUAAAAGUGCGGGGCUCAGCCCCGUGAUGGGAGAGAAACUAUCUUUCGUGAGUGAAGGAGAGGAAAGUGGAAUUCCUAGUGUAGCGGUGAAAUGCGUAGAUAUUAGGAGGAACACCAGUGGCGAAGGCGACUUUCUGGACUGUAACUGACGCUGAGGCUCGAAAGCCAGGGGAGCGAACGGGAUUAGAAACCCUUGUAGUCC